CAGAAUGAACGUUGGCGGCGUGGAUUAGGCAUGCAAGUCGAACGGGCCUGGUUUUCGGAUCAGGUCAGUGGCGCAAGGGUGAGUAAGGCGACGGUAACCAACCCCAUGGUUGGGUAUAGCCGCGGGAAACUGCGGGUAAUCCCCAGCGAUGUAAGAUGCCGGCAUCGGUGUUUUAUCAAAGCUUUGGCGCCGUGGGACGGGCCGUCGUGGUAUUAGGUAGUUGGCGGGGUAACGGCCCACCAAGCCGAUGAUGCCUACCGGGCGUGCGAGCGUGGCCCGGCACACUGGGACUGAGACACUGCCCAGACUCCUACGGGAGGCUGCAGUCGAGAAUCUUCGGCAAUGGGCGCAAGCCUGACCGAGCGACGCCGCGUGGAGGAUGAAGGCCUUCGGGUUGUAAACUCCUGUCGAGG
rnacentral:rRNA from 1 species